ensembl:lncRNA
UUCUCUUAAGAGAGAGUGGGAGCAGGGCUGGAGUGGAUGGCACAGGACCUGGAUACUCGCAUUUUGUAACGCUGAACAGGAGCGGGCACUGGGGAUAAGCCUGUGGAGAGUUGGAGAGCUGGAAUACAACCAACUUGGGUUUUGGACAUUUCACUAACGUGAGAGGAGAGCAGCUGUGAGAAAGCAGCAGACACACAGGCCAGUCCUGAUGGCAGGUGCUUGGGGGUCAGCCUGCACUGGACUCUGGCUCUAGCAGCCCACUGGGCCCUCACUUCAACUCUGAACAUUUCACAGGACGAGUGCCCAUGAGGUCGUUGACGCUGGUCCUGCUCGUCCUGAUCAGCGUCCAGGCUGCACUCAUCAUGGGAGGCCACACCCAGGCGCAGGGGCCAGCCAAUCAGCACGCAGCAGCGCAUCACUCACCCAGGCCUCGCAGCCAAUCCAAGCAGGACUCACACUACGAUGACCCAAUCCCCAACGUGGACCCCAAACUCUUCAGCAAGCGCCGUUACCGUUCACCUCGCGUGUUGUUCAGUGACGUGGUCCCUA